rnacentral:rRNA from 1 species
UGGGGAAUUUUGGACAAUGGGCGAAAGCCUGAUCCAGCAAUGCCGCGUGUGUGAAGAAGGCCUUCGGGUUGUAAAGCACUUUUGUCCGGAAAGAAAUCCUUGGCUCUAAUACAGUCGGGGGAUGACGGUACCGGAAGAAUAAGCACCGGCUAACUACGUGCCAGCAGCCGCGGUAAUACGUAGGGUGCAAGCGUUAAUCGGAAUUACUGGGCGUAAAGCGUGCGCAGGCGGUUUGCUAAGACCGAUGUGAAAUCCCCGGGCUCAACCUGGGAACUGCAUUGGUGACUGGCAGGCUAGAGUAUGGCAGAGGGGGGUAGAAUUCCACGUGUAGCAGUGAAAUGCGUAGAGAUGUGGAGGAAUACCGAUGGCGAAGGCAGCCCCCUGGGCCAAUACUGACGCUCAUGCACGAAAAGCGUGGGGGAGCAAAACAGGAUUAGAUACCCUGGUAGUCCACGCCCUAAAACGAUGUCAACUAGUUGUUGGGGAUUCAUUUCCUUAGUAACGUAGCU